UACGGGAGGCAGCAGUGGGGAAUAUUGCACAAUGGGCGCAAGCCUGAUGCAGCCAUGCCGCGUGUAUGAAGAAGGCCUUCGGGUUGUAAAGUACUUUCAGUCGUGAAGGAAGGUGUUAAGGUUAAUAACCUUAGCAAUUGACGUUAGCGACAGAAGAAGCACCGGCUAACUCCGUGCCAGCAGCCGCGGUAAUACGGAGGGUGCGAGCGUUAAUCGGAAUUACUGGGCGUAAAGGGCACGCAGGCGGUUAAUUAAGUUGGAUGUGAAAUCCCCGGGCUUAACCUGGGAAUGGCAUUCAAGACUGGUUAGCUAGAGUCUUGUAGAGGGGGUAGAAUUCCAUGUGUAGCGGUGAAAUGCGUAGAGAUGUGGAGGAAUACCGGUGGCGAAGGCGGCCCCUGGACAAAGACUGACGCUCAUGUGCGAAAGCGUGGGGAGCAAAC
rnacentral:rRNA from 1 species